rnacentral:rRNA from 1 species
GACGAACGCUGGCGGCGUGCUUAACACAUGCAAGUCGAGCGAGAAGGCGGCUUCGGCCGUGAGUACAGCGGCGAACGGGUGAGUAACACGUGGGCAACCUGCCCCAGAGAUUGGGAUAACGUCCCGAAAGGGACGCUAAUACCGAAUGACGCGUGACCUGCCAAGUGGGUCACGCCAAAUGGUAGCCUCGGCUUCUGCUCUGGGAUGGGCCCGCGCCGGAUUAGCUUGUUGGUGGGGUAACGGCUCACCAAGGCGACGAUCCGUAGCUGGUCUGAGAGGACGAUCAGCCACACUGGGACUGAGACACGGCCCAGACUCCUACGGGAGGCAGCAGUGGGGAAUCUUGCGCAAUGGGCGAAAGCCUGACGCAGCAACGCCGCGUGAGCGAAGACGGCCUUCGGGUUGUAAAGCUCUGUCAGGAGGGACGAAGCCAGUCGGGUGAAUAGCCCAGAGGGUGACGGUACCUCCAGAGGAAGCCCCGGCUAACUACGUGCCAGCCGCCGCCGUAACAC